rnacentral:lncRNA from 10 species
UAAUUUUUUUUGUAUAUCUUGUAGAGACGGGGUUUCACCAUGUUGCCCAGGCUGGUCUCAAACUCCUGAGCUCAAUCGAUCCGCCCACCUCAGCCUCCUAAACUGCUGGGAUUAUAGGCGUGAGCCACCGUGCCUGGCCAAAUAAAUCUUAGGGUAUUUCUGGUGCAGGAGUAACCAGAUUCUGACUGAGCACAGUGGCUCACACCUGUAAUCCCAGCACUUUGGGAGGCUGAGACAGGAGGAUCUCUUGAGCCCAAGACUUCGAGACCAGCCUGAGUGAUAUAGUGAGACCUUGUCUCUACAGAAAAUUUUAAAAGUUAGCUGAGCAUGGUGGUGGCGUGCACCUGUGAUUCCAGUUACUUGGGAGGCUAAGGUGGGAGGAUCGCUUGAGCCCAGGAGGUGGAGGUUGCAGUGAGCCAAGAUCAUACCACUGUACUCCAGCCUAUGUGACAGAGUAAGAUCCUAUAUCAAAACAAAACAAAAACAAACAAAAAAACCCACAAAACCAAAAACUGGUUAAACAAAAGGAAGAGUAUUGGUUCACAUAACAGUGUAGCUUAGUAGGAGCUUCAGGAACGGUUUGAUCCAGGACUCAAGUGAUUUAGGGAUGCAUUAGUAUCUCUUAGCUCUGUUUCCUGUAGAUUGGCUUCCAUCCUCAGACUGGCUACCCUUAUGGUAACAAAAAUGGCCACAGUUAUCACAAGCUUGAUGCCCUCCUAGCAUUAAACCCACUGGAAUCCAAGUCCUGGUGUUCCUACCCAAAAAGCUGAGGCUCACCUCUGCACAGCCCAGCCCUAAGUCAAUCACUGUGGCCAGGGUGAAAGGGAUAUGCUAAUUAGGAUAGGCUGGCCAGGCCGUCUCAGAGCUGGGGUAGGGUCAACCUCCAACCACUGAACAGACACUAAUCAGAGAGGAGCAGCUUCCCAGAGGAAAUUGUGGGUACUCUUGUCACGGAUGAGGGCGAAUAGAUGUUGGCAGCGCAGUACAGACCUCCAGUAUUCCUGCAAGGUGAGUGUCAGUCCUGUUUUACAGAUGAGGAAAGUGAGGCUCCCAGAUGAUAAGUCAUUAAGCCAAAGUCACAUAAUUUGUGGAGUCAGGGAUGCGUUCCCAAGCCUGUCCAGCUCCAAAACUAGAUGCUCCCACUACUAGCUCAAGUGAUGGCAGACACAUUUUGGAAACAACCACCCGCCCUACGUUUCCAGAAGCAGCAUCAAUUUCUGCCAGGCAGGGACGUUUUUCCUUUUCAUCCCGGAAUCUCUCUGGGAAUCUUUUUUGACUGGAACUCAAAGGGGAACAACACAGACACACCUCAGCGAAUGCAGCCUGCAGGAGAGACAGACGAGUGUGGACGGAGGAUUACCCAGGUGCCGAGGCAAGAGACUGAAGGCACAAACUGUUUCAGUAUAAUAAACAAAAUAGUUAGAAUGAGAAUAGUUAUAAUACAAAUUAGAUAUAGAGAUGAUCAUGGACAUUAUAAAUCAUUAGUAUAAACAUUAUUAAUCAUUAACUUUUAAUAUUACUCUUUGUUGUAUAACCAAGGAAUAACCGGCGGGUAUAGGGACAGGGGCUGAAGGGACAUUGUGAGAAGUGACCAAGAAGGCAAGAGGUGAGCCCUCUGUCACACCUGCAUCAGGGCCGCUUGAGGGCUCCUUGGUCAAGUGGUAAUGCCAGUGCCUGGGAAGGCACCCGUUACUUAGCAAACCGUGAAAGGGAGUCUCCGUUUCCUUGGAGGAGUCAGGGAACACUCUGCUCCACCAGCUUCUUGUGGGAGGCUGGAUAUUAUCCAGGCCUGCCCGCAGUCAUCCGGAGGCCUAAACCCCUCCCUGUGGUGCUGUGCUUCCAUGGUCACGCUCCUUGUCCACUUUCAUGCUCUUCCCGUACUCCUGGUUCCUCUUUGAAGUUCUUAGAAGAUAGCGGUAGAAGAAAUAGUGAAAAUCUUAAAGUCUUUGAUCGAAUUUCUGAUAAGUGCACAGAAGAAAACGCUGACGUAUGCUGCCUUCCCUCUCUGCUUCAGCUACCUAAAAGGAAAGGGACCCCUGUCCUAUGAUCACGUGACUUGCUUGACCUUAUCAAUCACUUGGACGACCCACCUUCCUUACCCUGCCUGCCCCCCUUGUCUUGUAUACAAUAAAUAUCAGCGCGCCCAGCCAUUCGGGGCCACUACCGGUCUUCGUGUUUUGGUGGUAGUGGUCCCCCAGGCCCAGCUGUUUUCUAUUUAUCUCUUUGUCUUGUGUCUUUAUUUCUUACUAUGUCUGUCUCCGCACAUGGGGAGAACACCCGCCAAACCCCGUAGGGCUGGACCCUAUAGACGAGAAAGUGGAUGAUGAUACUGCAGUCAGGGCUGCGGGACUAUGGGGCAGGGACAUCUAACCUCCCCUUGAAAGUCAGGGAGGUCUUCCUGGAGGAAGGUGAAACCUCCAAUCUGGAAACCGAAAGAUGAUGGGAGUCAGCCAAGCUAAGCAGUGGAGAGCCUGAGUGAACGAAUGAAUGCACAGAGGUGGGUGGGUGUAGGGAAGCCAGGGAGCCUUUAUUUUGAAACAGGGUCUCCCAGGCUGCAGUGCAGUGGUACAAUCAUGGCUCACUGCAGCCUCGAGCUCUUGGGCUCAAGUGAUCCUCCCACCUCAGCCUCCUGAGUAGCUGGGACCACAAGUGCAUGCUACCACACCCGGCUAAUUUUUUAAAAAUGUUCUGUAGAGAUGGGGCCUCGCCAUGUUGCCCGGGCUGGCCUCAAACUCCUGGGCUCAAGCGAUCCUUCCGCCUCGGCCUCCCAAAGUGUUGGAUUACAGGUGUGAGCCACUGCACCCACCCAAGAAUUGGAUUUCUUCAUUGGCAUCACUGACCUCUAGGGACAAAGGGUGGGCUCUGGCCCUAAUUCACGGCAACAGUGACAUUAGAGAUCAUCAUUCCUCCCAUGGACGUAUCCCUUCUUCUCUCCUUAUUACUGUCAUAAUUUUAGCCAAUCUACAGCUUCCCUGAAAACCAAAGAACGGUUUUAUCACCAUGUUUUACAAAGUGCAAAUUGAGACCCGGUGAAAAACAGUGACUUGCUAAAGGUCAAAGGUCACUCAUGGAGUUGGGUGGUGGCACCCUUGCAGGAUGUACCCCCAGCCAAUGGUGUGUUAAUCAUUACCUCUGCUAACAGCUUGUGAUGGUUAAUGGUAAGCGUCAGGAGUUCGAGACCAGCCUGGCCAACAUGGUGAAACCCCAUCUCUGCUAAAAAUACAAAACAUUAGCCGAG